UACGUAGGGGCUAGCGUUAUCCGGAUUUAUUGGGUUUAAAGGGUGCGUAGGCGGCUUUUUAAGUCAGCGGUGAAAUUUUGCAGCUUAACUGUAACAGUGCCGUUGAUACUGGGGAGCUAGGAUUUGGUUGCUGUGGGUGGAAUGUGUGGUGUAGCGGUGAAAUGCUUAGAGAUCACACAGAAUAUCGAUUGCGAAGGCAGCUCACAAAGCCAAGAUUGACGCUGAGGCACGAAAGUGUGGGGAUCAAACAGGAUUAGAUACCCCGGUA
rnacentral:rRNA from 1 species